rnacentral:rRNA from 1 species
GUGGGGAAUAUUGGACAAUGGGCGCAAGCCUGAUCCAGCCAUGCCGCGUGAGUGAUGAAGGCCUUAGGGUUGUAAAGCUCUUUCAGUAGGGAAGAUAAUGACGGUACCUACAGAAGAAGCCCCGGCUAACUUCGUGCCAGCAGCCGCGGUAAUACGAAGGGGGCUAGCGUUGUUCGGAUUUACUGGGCGUAAAGCGCACGUAGGCGGAAUGUUAAGUCAGAGGUGAAAUCCUGGAGCUCAACUCCAGAACUGCCUUUGAUACUGGCAAUCUCGAGUCCGGAAGAGGUGAGUGGAACUCCUAGUGUAGAGGUGGAAUUCGUAGAUAUUAGGAAGAACACCAGUGGCGAAGGCGGCUCACUGGUCCGGUACUGACGCUGAGGUGCGAAAGCGUGGGGAGCAAACAGGAUUAGAAACCCUGGUAGUCC